AGUGAACGCUGGCGGUAGGCCUAACACAUGCCAGUCGAACGGCAGCACAGUAAGAGCUUGCUCUUACGGGUGGCGAGUGGCGGACGGGUGAGGAAUACAUCGGAAUCUACUUUUUCGUGGGGGAUAACGUAGGGAAACUUACGCUAAUACCGCAUACGACCUACGGGUGAAAGCAGGGGAUCUUCGGACCUUGCGCGAUUGAAUGAGCCGAUGUCGGAUUAGCUAGUUGGCGGGGUAAAGGCCCACCAAGGCGACGAUCCGUAGCUGGUCUGAGAGGAUGAUCGGCAACCGGGAACCUGAGAAAGGUGCCGGAUCCUUAGGGAAGGCACAGUGGGGAAAUAUUGGACAAGGGGGGCAAGCUUGAUCCAGCCAUCCCGGUGGGUGGAAGAAGGCCUUCGGGUGGUAAAGCCCUUUUGUUGGGAAAAAAAGCAGGCAGGUUAAACCCCGGCGUUUUGACGGUAACCAAAAAAUAAGGCACGGCUUAAUUUGUG
rnacentral:rRNA from 1 species